UGUUCCCUGACUGGCCCACUUCCUCAUUCUCUUCUCUGCAGGAGGCUUCCCAAAUGGUGGAGGAUGUUUUGAUGCUUGGAAGAGGAAAGCAAUACACAGUCUUUCCUCUGGUUACUGCAGCAAGAGAGUUCUCCAGCCUGAUUUGCCUUCUGCUUUCAUAUGGAGACAAAAGGAGGCUCCAUGAGUCAGUGCCCACAGAGUCA
rnacentral:lncRNA from 1 species